rnacentral:rRNA from 1 species
AUUGAACGCUGGCGGCAGGCCUAACACAUGCAAGUCGAACGAGUGGCGGACGGGUGAGUAAUGUAUGGGAAACUGCCUGAUGGGGGGGGAUAACUACUGGAAACGGUAGCUUAUACCGCAUACCAUCAUAUGUGCCCAGAUGGGAUUAGCUUGUUGGUGGGGUAACGGCUAACCAAGGCGACGAUCCCUAGCGGGUGUGAGAGAAUGAACAGCAACAUGGGAACGGAGCAACGGUCCGGAUGCCUCCGGGAGGCAGCAGGGGGGAAUAUUGGACAAUGGGCGCAGUCCUGCUGCAGCCAUGCGCGGUGUAUGAAGAAGGCCUUGGGGUGGAAAAGUACUUUCAGCGGGGAGGCGUUACCCGCAGAAGAAGCACCGGCUAACUCCGUGCCAGCAGCCGCGGUAAUUC